rnacentral:misc_RNA from 1 species
CAAAACAUUCCUCGGCCGUUCCUUUUCAGGUUCGUGCCGGUCAUGGGUUCGGAGGAACGAGCUACGACUCCCCUCCCGCCUUAAAGAUGCUGUGCGACCGCAGGCUAUUUCCGGCCGGGCUAAUGGAGUGGUGUUUUCAAUGUCUUCCAUCUACCGUCGGGUUCGGCCUCAGCGGUACUAAAUCAGAGAGUUACCCCUGCGGUAACUGUG